UACGUAGGGCGCAAGCGUUGUCCGGAAUCAUUGGGCGUAAAGAGCUCGUAGGCGGUUUGUCGCGUCGGAUGUGAAAACCCAGGGCUCAACCCUGGGCCUGCAUUCGAUACGGGCAGACUAGAGUAUGGCAGGGGAGACUGGAAUUCCUGGUGUAGCGGUGAAAUGCGCAGAUAUCAGGAGGAACACCGGUGGCGAAGGCGGGUCUCUGGGCAGUAACUGACGCUGAGGAGCGAAAGCGUGGGGAGCGAACAGG
rnacentral:rRNA from 1 species